rnacentral:lncRNA from 10 species
AAAACCUGGCAUAGCGGCCAGCCUGGUGGGGUGGUGGCAAGGCAGGAGGGCCAGCUGGCUGCUGAGCUGAAUAGGACUGAUGACUCUGUUUCCCUGGUUGUCCUGUUUGAUGUUAAUCACCAGGCUGAGCAAGCUCUUCAACCAGACACAGCUGGCCCCCAGGGAAAUACGACAAGAGGCCAGGGAGGGUCUAGGUUAUUUGGAGUUAAAGACCUGCAGGACGGGGCAGAGUCAGGGGCAGGGAGUUUGAAGGAGGGGGUCAGAGGGUACAGAGAUGGAAAAAGAUGGUGAUGGAGGUCUCUAGUGAUGGCAGAUGGCAGAUGAAAGGGGAAGCUUGGGGACCAGCUGACCUCCAAGGUUCCUUUCAGCUGGAAAAACUGGUUCCAAGGGACACAGGAGUGAAGAGAUGAACUAACUGCCAGACAGGACCUUCAACAAACCGAAAGAGAGCCUCCCAGUCUCAGAGCUGUGGUCCAGCCACUGGGACACUUGCUGAGAUCCCAUCUAAGAUUUAGGGUCAGAGCUGGCAAGCAGAGAUACCAAAGGACACCAGUCUAGGGAAGGACAAACAGUGAGGUUCAGGCCUGGCAGUGAAGAAACCUCAACUGAGCCACAAUUUGCUGUGUGAUCUUAGAUGGGGAGCCUGAGGCCCAGAGAGGGCAAAGACAUGCUCAAAGUUGCACAGCAAGACAGCCAUGGAAGCAAGUUGGAACCCAGGGUUCUUGACUCUUCCCGAGAUUCCCUGCCCAGAGAGGAAGAAUAUAGAGAGGAAGUCUGUCUACAGCGGCUUUGCAGUGCUGUGGUGGUUAAGAGGCUGCUCUCCAGUCACACUGCUGGAAGUCUUUUCGGGCUCCCUGGCUUAUUCACCAUGUGCUCUCCAGCAUCAGUCACAUUGGAAUAAGAGCACCUGCCUCACGAGACACUUGGGACAGCGCAG